CGAGCAAAGUCAAUGGGGAAGCCAGAUUCAUUAAACAACUGUAUUUACUGCAACAACAAUCUUUUUUAUUGAUCAUGGAGCAAUAUCACAAACAAAAGCAUUAAAAAUAUUAAAAACAAAAAUAAGAGGCAGGCAGAAUAAUGUAUUGCAAUUGGUGGUGGAUUAUCAAUGGGCAAUUAAAGUUAGUCUAAUUUUACAUACAACAUGGAAAAUUUGGUCACAUUCAAAGAAACUAUAAUGAUACAAUAGCAGUAGUUGCACACAAAAAAUAUCAGUAUUUUCUGGGUAUUUUGUUAGGUGAUGUGUUAUAAAUUGAAUCUGUGAGUCCUUAUAGAAGAUUCAGUAUAGCAAGACGUGAAGUAUAGUUUCACUGGUCUCUUGUCCACAGAGACACAGUCUCAGCUCAUACAGUAUUUUUUUUUGCAUUGGCCCUCCAAAACUGUGGGAAGUGCGUUGCUAAGGUUAGUGCCAUUUGGACCCUUUGGGGUGGUGGUGGUGGUGGUGGAGGAAUAUAAUAUUUUGCUGCUUUAAAGGGGGGAUUUUGAUUGCUCAAAUAAACAUUCUUGGGAAGAGCAGCCCAAUCUUGUCCAAUUUCCAGGUCUUUUAAGUGCACACUCCUACCCCAUUAUUAAAAGAACUUCCCUGGAUAGAACCGUGUUACCAACUUUAACAAUCGAAGUGAUUCACUUAACUGUGGCAAGAAAGGUGGUAAAAUGGGGCAAAAUUAACAACAUUGCUUAACAGAAAUUUUGGGCUCAAUUGUCAUAAAUCGAGAACUAUCUGUAAUUGAAUAUAUCACAAAUAAUGUAGAGGUUAAUACAGCGCAGUAAGCCAUAAUGUAGCCACAAUAUCAGGGUUCAUAUAACUUGGUUAUUUGCAAAACUAAGAUUAAACAUGAUUAGCAUACUUGUACCAAUACAGCCUUUAAAAUAUCCAUAUAGUAUUAAAUUGUUGCUAAUAUCAAUAAAUCAUAUAAAAUUUCUUCUUUCAAAAGGAUUUUAAAAAAUAUAGCUCUAUUUUUUAAAACUUCUUUAUACCUUUGAAUUAAUAUCGACUCCUGAUGAGUGCCUGGAUGUGACUAUGCAGUUUUCUUAACCAGAUUUUUCAGAAGUGGCUCCCCGUUGCCUCCUUCCUCAGGCUAUGAUGAGGAAUGGCUUUCCCAAAGUAACCCAGCUGGGACUCAUUCUCCUGUUUCUAGCCUGGUGCCUUAACCACUACCCCAAACUGGCUCUCCUUUAAAUACAGCGAAGUGUUAUACUUCUUUUAAAAAAUACAGGAAGUCCUGAUAUAUGAAGGGUUAAAGUAGCAGUUUCCUUACAACUUAAUCUUUGUGUCAGUGGGCUGCUUUAUUCUGUUUUCCUAAAUCUUGGUACUGUCAUUAUCAGAAUCUGAGCUGCAGGUGAAGCCUAAGGAAGUCAUCUCCACUCACCUGUUUUGGCCGGCAGGAUGCUGCAGGGGGUGUCUGUCUCAUCUUCCUCACCGGCCCAUGGAGGAGAACUACAAUGCUGGUCCAGCCCUAGAGCAGGCGUGCUUGCACUAGACCACCCCAGCUCUAGUGCAAGAAUUAUAAGCCAUGGGCAAUUGGCUUGACUUUUAAUUUGCAUGAUGAAGCCUCCUUCCAAGUGUGUGCAGUCUUGGGGGAAGUGGAGGAAAGCGAUGCUUGAACUUUCUUAAAACUGAGAUUCCAGGCAGUUCAAGACUACUUUGAUUGAAACAGGGCUUUGGUUAUAAGGUUAUCCUUCCUUAGUCUUUAACCUGGAGAGCGGAGGGUGGGAUCCUUAAAAUAUAGUGGUCAGAAAAGCAGAACUGGAUCAAGUAGCAUUCUGUGCUUCAGUAGUAGUUUCUUAAAGUUGUUUUCUCCGAUGCUUUAGGUUCCAGGAGCAAGAGGCAUUUAGAAGAGGAGUGUGAAGAAGGCGGCGCAGGAGACACGAAAAGACAAUGCCGUAUGACCUGCAGGUGCUCAUCCUCUCAGGCACAUUCUCUCAGCAAUGGAAGAGCAGCUUCUCCAGGCUCUUUCCUGAGCAGCAGUGGAUACUUGGAUAAUGACUUGGAUGAUGCCAUCCUGGCUCGUUCUGAUGAGGAAAAGCCAGAUUCUCCCACUGGACUCUCUCGUGAAGCUGAGGAUGAGCUUAUAGCAGAGGAUCGGGAAACCUCCCCCUGUUUUGUAGCAAUUGAAGUAAAUAGAUGUGAGGAUGUGAAGAGUGGUAGCCUUUUAGCUUGUCCUGAAUCUGCACAGCCUCCAAGGGCUCUGGAUGAGGUUGAAAGCACAAAACCUCUUCCUCAGACCGGUUCUUCAGCCAGCUCAAGUGAGGUGGCUCUUUUCACAAAUGAUUUGGAAAAAUACUUGAAUAAGAGCUCUCAAAAUCAAGCAGAGUUUGGUGCAAAAUACAAUGGUUUUAGGAUUCCAGAAGUUGAUUCAGACGUAACAGCUUCUUUGAAUCCGGAGAGAGGUCUGCCUGGAAAAAUAGAUAAUGACACAAUAAAGACAGUGGCAAAUGAUUUGCCAGUAGGAAGCCAACUAGUGGCUGAACAUGAAUCAUUUGGUGCAGUGGUUGAACAGUCCUCCUUAGAGAGACAGACUUCCCUAAGUUACAAGCAGCUCAGAGGCAAGAAUACAAGCAACCCACUACCUGAAAAAGAAUUAGAUACCAUUGACUUGCAUGCAGUGUCCACUCGUGUCAAUGGCCAAAGAAAGGAUUGUGUGGAAGCUCCUGAUGUUAAAAAAACAAAUAGGUCAGAAUACCUUCCCCUUCUUCCAGUGAUCUGCUGUUAGGCGUGCUUUCUCAAAUCACGUGGAGUUUGGCAUGUAUAUUGUUUUCCCUGCUUUCUGCAGGUUAUGAAUUGAGCGGAUUAAUCUUCAGAACGUGGAAAUUCAUUUGGGAAUCUUGUAUGCGUGAUAUACGAUGGGCUUGUUUUCUAUCCCUUUGCUUCCCACUAGAUGGUAGCAGGCACUAAACGUUUACUGUGGAAGACAGAUUCCAUGUCCAGGCAGGAAGUGGCUAAAGAAGCAAAGAAGAAGCUACACCCUUCAGUUUGUCAACCCCUGAGCAACGUGGAAGACUCCAUUUUCUGUGUGAAGUCAAGGUACAGCCCACAACAGCCAUUCUUCAAGAGCUUCAGUCCAAGGAAAAUAUCAGACUGCAUAAUGUUAUCCUCUAGCUUAGUGGCCCCAUACCUUCUGGGCACCAGAGACUGGUUCCUUGGAGAGAGCUUUUUCUGUGGACCAGAGUGGGUGUGGUUUUACAUGCUGCCUUCAUCCUGUGGAUGAGGCUUUGGUUUUUUUUGCAUGGCCCGGUUGCUGGCAUGCCAUGGACUGGUGCCAGUCCAUGGACCAGGAGUUGGGGAUCCCUGCUCUAUCUGUAUAAUAUAUAUCAGAACCUGUUCAAUAUUGAUCUUUUUAAAAAAAAAGAUAAAACAUGUAAUCUGGGCCUUAACAAUUCUGUAGACAAUAUUUGAAGAAUCCCAAUGGAGAGUAGGGUGUGGUUUUUUUUGGUACAUUGCUCACCAUGGAUGUCAGAGCCCAACUGCUGUGUUUCCUUAUCAAUAUAACCGUAGUGAGUAACGGAGGUACUACUAGCUAUCAUGUUUCUUCUACCAAUGGAAUGCCUAGUUGCACCUAACAUUCGUGUGGUAGCAAUCCUAACUUUCAGAAUCAGUUCUAAAUAGAGAAGUGCUCACCAAUCCCUGUGAACAAGGGGGAGGUCACUGGUGGCUUCAUGCAUUAGAGAUGGAUGCCAAGUGAAAGUCGGUCUUGGGGAAGACGCUAUUCAGACAAGUGAUCAGAUAAGAAAAAUCCUUGCCCUCAGCUCUGGUUGUUUUGGACUGAUACAGAAUUGAGCAUGUGAAGACUAGGAGAAGAACUAAGAGAUGGAUGGUGAUGGCAAAGGAAACACACCCAGAAAACUUCAGACCAAUCAGCCUAACAUCAAUACCUGAGAAGAUACUCGAAAAAUAAUCAAAAAACAGAUCUGCAAAUAUCUAGA